rnacentral:rRNA from 1 species
UACGGAGGGUGCAAACGUUGCUCGGAAUCAUUGGGCGUAAAGCGCACGUAGGCGGCCAACUAAGUCAGACGUGAAAUCCCUCGGCUUAACCGGGGAACUGCGUCUGAUACUGGAUGGCUUGAGAUUGGGAGAGGGAUGCGGAAUUCCAGGUGUAGCGGUGAAAUGCGUAGAUAUGCGGAGGAACACCGAUGGCGAAGGCAAUCCCCUGGGCCUGCACUGACGCUCAUGCACGAAAGCGUGGGGAGCAAACAGG